rnacentral:rRNA from 1 species
UACGAAGGGGGCUAGCGUUGUUCGGAAUUACUGGGCGUAAAGGGCCAGUAGGCGGCCAACUAAGUCACACGUGAAAUCCCCCAGGCUUAACCUGGGAACUGCGUGUGAUACUGGAUGGCUUGAAUUCGGGAGAGGGAUGCAGAAUUCCAGGUGUAGCGGUGAAAUGCGUAGAUAUCUGGAGGAAUACCGGUGGCGAAGGCGGCAUCCUGGACCGAGAUUGACGCUGAACGGCGAAAGCUAGGGGAGCAAACGGG